UGACCGAUCUGACCUCCAAGUAGGAAGC
rnacentral:sRNA from 1 species